UUUAUAUACUGUUACAUAUAUAUAUAUCUAUAAGUCACAUCUGAAUUGUAACCCCCUUUUUGCAAUACAGAUGACUUUGAAAUAAAAAAUUAAAAAAAGAGACAUUUCUUACUGCUUCAAUGUGCUCCAGUGAGGACAUCAGGGGUGCAAAAAAGGCAGGCCUGAGCUCUGUCCCUCUGAGUUGGUGGAUGUGGAGGAAAAUGAUGAUGUCAAGAAGGACCACAUCAUCAGAGACAUUGAUGCAGCACCAGGACCCUUCCUGGAUAUCAGGACUGAUACAAAAGCAGACCUUAAAUCUGUCCAUUCGGAACUUCUGGACGUGGAGAAUGAGGAGAUCCUACCAGAAGAUCAACAAGAUCAAAAAUCCACCAGCAGCUCGUCCCCACCACACCUUCACAGAAAGAGGUUUUCAGUGGCAGAGAAAGACCUGAGCUCUGUUCCUCUGGAGUUUAUAGAUAUGGACACAAACAAAAUCUGCACCUUAAUCAUGUGUUUUUUCGACAGCCUUACCAAAGAGCAGCGGACAGAACUACGCAAAUGUCAUUACAGCAUGAACAUGAAAAACAAGAUUGCUGACGUGACUGCAGAGGUGUUUAUGCACAUCACAAAGGCAGUCAGUCACAACAUUGACAAGUGUUCAAUCGGUGGUGAAUUGGUGGACACAGCCGGAGGAUUAACACCAAAACUCAUGGAGACAAUUGAAAAAAUUGUAAACUCUGUUCUGUCAGAGAUACAACAGGCACACCCUGUUGUCACUAAGAAGAGGUGGUUUAGCAAAUUGCGGAAAAAUAAGGUUAAUGCCAUUUCAGACAUAUCUGAUAACACUAGCGCUGCUUCUCUGAAAUUUGUUGAUCAGAACGCCACACCAAAAAAUCAACGAGUGUGGACGAGAAUGACUCUGUUGAAGAGAAUCCGUCAGUUCUGCUGCAGUUUGAGCUGCUGUUCGAGCUGCUGUUCACGGAGUGAUGUAAAUUCUCUCAACCCCCUUCCUCCAAGCUAAGCUUCUGAAGUCCCAGCAAGAACAGUUAGUGAUUCAUGUCUUGCCUUUCUUUCACAAGUUCCUCUCUAGCUACCUGUUUUUACUGUAAAUAUGUAAAUAAACCGGGACCCUUAAUUUAUGGGACAGAGAUGACAUCAUUUCUAAAUAAAUCUUUGGCACACCUGGCAGAGGCACUAUCCAUGCUGUUGCCAGGAUAUUUAAUUAAUGAAAUUAAUUCAGCAUUGAACCUUUAGUUUGUUUUUUUGUGUCUGAUCACAUCCCCUGUGUGUCUGCAUGAGGAAAGGACAUGAGAGUGAAAAUAUUGUGAUACUUGAAUUAAAUCUUUAAAAAUGUAUUAAAAUAUUGCAGAAAAUGCAGUGGUUAAGUUCAAGUCGAGUUCAAUUGCAUUAUUAAAGUCCAUAUUUAUUCUACAAAUCUUACUUUAACAGCUGCAAGAAGUAGCCUUACAGACUUUAUAGUCUAUAUCAGUGUGCUGUGAGUUAACCCGAAGCCGCAUGUACACAUUUAUCCUCCGGCAUGUCGGGAGAUUUAAAUGAUCGGUAAAGAUGCUGCUGUGGCUCUCUCUUAAUGGGGAGACACUUGCACCUGCAACCCAUAAUAAGUAUAACAUUUUAAUUGUUAUGUAUAUUAUUGUAAGUGUGGUGAAAAAGAGUCAAUUAGGUUGAUAGUUGAAAAAAAAAACCAGUUUGUGUGUUUUGCCUUCCAUCAACUUUUUUUUCUUCAUAUACACAUCUUAUUUAAGUUACAGCUUACAGGCCAUCCCCAUGACAGUGGAGAUUGAAAAAAACAAACAAGAAAAGGUUAAACACUAAAUUAAUUUGCCAGAAUUAAAUCUCCCUGCAAUAACAUGGAUAGUGCCUCACUGCCAGGCAUGCCAAACAUUUAUUCAUAAAUUAUGUCAUCUCGACCCUGCAAAUUAAGGGUCCCAGUUUGUUUGAAAAUAUGGUCACCCUAGUUACAAAAACACUUAAAGUCCUGGUGAAACCAAAAUCAGAGAGCUGUUUGCUUCAGCACAUUUACAUAUUUUCUGUACGAGAUUCGGCUCAACACUUCAAUUCCGAAGACGAAAACAGGCGACCGCCGUGCAGGCCCUGACAUGAGUCGAUGGCGAAGUCCCGCCAAACGCUGCUUGCAGCUUUAAUUACUAUUAUUAUUAUUGUGAAAUCUAUUACAUAUCUACAAUAACACAAAUUGUGCUUGACACUACUGAUACAGGCUUAAAUCUCUCUCUCUCUCUCUCUCUCUCUCUCUCUCUCCCCGAACAGGUUGCAGCAGACCUGAGCUCUGUCCCUGGAGGAUGUGGAGGAAAAUGACGAUGAUGUCAGGAAGGACCACAACGUCAGAGACAUUGAUGCAGCAUCAGGGAAACCCAAUAGUAGCUCAUCCCCAACACCACACCAUAACAGAGAGCGGUUUUCAAUUGCAGAUGAAGACCUGAGUUCUGUCCCCCUGGCGUUGGUGGAAGUAGAGAAUAAUAAAUCUCUGUCUCUCUCUCAACAGGUCGCUGUCCCUUUCUCCACUACAUGCCCAGCAAACCGGCCAAGUACGGGAUCAAGUCGUGGGUGGCAUGCUCAGAAUCAGAAUGCCACACCAAAAAAUCAAGCUAUGUGAACACAGAAUGACUCUGUUGAACAGAAUCUGUCAAGGAUGGGUGACUCCAGAAAUGAUUAAAAUUGUCAAUAAAAAACAUAAAUGUGCUCCAGUGAGGACAUCAGGGGUUCAACAAAAGCAGACCUGAGCUCUGUCCCACUGAGUUGGUGGAUGUGGAGGAUAAUGAUGUAAUGGAGGACAACCUCACAUGCAGUCUGGAGCCAUGUAUGGAGGAACAGCACCACUGAACCGGAGUGAAAUUCGGCUUUGAGCGCCGGAUCAUGCGAAGUAGACUGCCAAAAGAAUGAGCCAUGUAUAUGUGCCACUGACAGCUCAGUGUGGGGUGGUGGAGAUCUGCCAGACCCAUACACAAGAGUAGUAAACAUGCAUGUGUAACAUUUGUGUUUUUCUCUAUAACCUUUGUUUUACUGUUUUUCAACUACGCAAAUGUGAUGACAGUGUGAAUGUCAAAGACAAGAUCACAUCACUGCACAUAACCCUAUGAGUUGAUCCGCAUGUACACAUUUAUCCUCCAGCAUGUCGGGGUGAUUUAAAUAAUAAGUAAACAUGCUGUUGUGCCUUUAUCCUACCCUUACCCAUAAUAAGUAUUACAUUUUUGUUGUUAUUUUAUAUUAACACCCAAUUUGAAACAGCGACAGAAACAGCCAUAUUUAUCAUGUCGUGAACUGGCUCAAAGUCAAGACAAGAAAGACCACACAGAUAAUAAAGGUUUUAAAGCAAAACAAAUGUUUGUACACACAUAUUUGGGUAUUUGCGUGGCCUACCAACCCAGACUGGGGAAUAAAUCAACUUAGUCCUUUUUUUAGUGGGCUGGCAAUGUCAGAAGCUCAAACGCUCUGUUCAGAUUUUGGGGAGUCAUUUGGAUAGCACAACGUCCCCUCUGACUAACCACCUCCCACGGACAAGAGUUCCCUUUGCUGCUGUCUGCCAUGUUUGCCCUGCAAGCCCUGGCUGUAGGAAUUAAUUUAAUGUUGUAAAAUUGAGCGACAGUCAUAAAAUGUGUGACCGUGAAGCCUCGUCAGAAGCCGACAAAACACUGUAUAAGUUAGAAGGUUGGAUGUCGGUGAUUAUUUUUUUCAUGAUGCUUCUUGUGUAACUUUCUACAGACGUGCUAACGUUACUUCAGCUAGUGCUUAGCUUUGUUAUUCCGAAGCAGUUUUCCUGCUCCACUCAGUUGUUUGUGUGUGUGUGUGUGUGCUGCUGUUUGUAAAUUCACCGGAGCUAGUGUGAGAGAACUGU
rnacentral:lncRNA from 15 species